AUGAGGCGACUAGUAGAAAGAUGGAUUGCUGAGGGGUUUGUUAAAGCCAGGACUGGGGUGAACACCGAGGAUGUGGCAAAAGGUUACUUUAAUGAGUUAAUCAACCGAAGCAUGCUUCAACCAGCAAGGGUGAACAUAGAAGGAGUUGUUAAGAGUUGCCGAGUCCAUGAUAUUGUGCGUGAUGUCAUGGUCUCAAUUGCUAGAGAUGAAAAUUUUGUGUACUUGGUAGGAGAUGAUGUAACGAGUGCCAUAGAGGAAAACUUCCGCCAUGUAUCGUACCAUGGCAGGAAGUGCCUAAAUAUAGGUAUAGAUUGGAGCCAUGUUCGGUCAAUAAGUGUGUUUGGUGACAGACCUGUGGAGCUAUCGGCUUCACUUUCUUCACCUGCCCUCAGGGUGCUUAGGGCUUUGGAUCUUCAGGAUGCAAAUUUUGGAAUCACACAGAAAGAUAUCAAUUAUAUAGGGUCACUGCACCACUUGAAAUAUGUGAACCUAUUUCGUGCUGAAGGUCUCAGAAAUAUUUAUAAGCUUCCAAGAUCCAUAGGAAAAUUACACUUCUUGCAGACACUAGACAUGAGAUGCACCUAUAUAUCAAACCUACCAAAUGAGAUCAGUAACCUUCACUGCCUCCAUAGCCUCCGGUGUACAAGAACAGCCUACUACCAUUAUUUUGACCGAGAUAGGCCCACAAAAUGCCUGAGGAACAUACUAAGUUUGCCCAUGACACUCGCACCUUUAGUUGAUCCUGAUGAGGGUGCCAAUAAAAUUUCUGAGCUACACAUGGCCAAUUAUAGCUAUUGUUUUAAGUCAAAUGGUGUGAGGAUACCGAAAGGAUUCAGCAACCUUAAAGUUCUAGAUGUACUAGAGGUUGUGGAUGUGAAAAGAACAAGCAGUAAGGCAUUUAAAGAGUUGGGAGAGCUUAUAAAGCUUAGUAAACUAGGACUGGUAACAACUGGGGCCACCGAGAAGAAGUGCAAGAUACUCUCUGAGGUUAUUGAGAAGCUAUCUUCCCUCGGUUCUCUUUGUGUGCAAGCUGAUUACUGGGCUGGCUCGGGUGGAAAACUUGAUUGGCUGCAUUNNNNNNNNNNNNNNNNNNNNNNNNNNNNNNNNNNNNNNNNNNNNNNNNNNNNNNNNNNNNNCCUCAAACUGUUUGGAUAUCUUGGAGAGAUGCCAGACUGGUUUACAGGUUUGAUGCGUUUAGUGAAGAUUUACCUAAUGCGUUUAGUGAAGGGAGGUAAAACCAUGGAAUUACUAGGAACACUGCCCAACCUCAUGUUCCUUUUUCUUCAUAGCAAUGCUUAUGUUGGAGAGAAGCUAGUCUUUGGAGAGGGGGCAUUCCAAAAUCUCAGAAAACUUGAUUUUGCUCACAAUUGUGGAGUGAGAGAGGUGAGAUUCGACGAAGGCACAUCACCAUUGUUGGAAAAGAAACAUUUCAGCUCUUGCAGGUUGGAAUCAGGUAUUAUUGGUAUCAAGCACCUUCCAAAGCUCGCCGAGAUUUCACUUCAUUUCUUGGGUCAAGUGGCGAGGCUUGGCGUGCUGCAAGAUGAGGUGGACGCGCACCCAAACUAUCCUGUGCUGCGACUCAGCAUGGUCCGGAGCAUCCAUGAUCUGCGUGACAUUGUCCAAGGAUCCUAUACUGCAGCACGAGCGGAAGAAGCAACAGAGGGCGAGGUAUCAUCUCUCCACCCCGACCCUGCAGCAGCGGGGGAGAGCUCCUCCUUGCAGAUGGGGUUGGGGAUACGACCCACGGGGAGCGACAGCAUAAGGGAAGUCGAAGGCUCUGCUUUGGUGGAAGAUGAUUUCUGGUCCUGCAAUUCCGACGACGACGACGACGACGGUGUUUGA
rnacentral:rRNA from 1 species